rnacentral:lncRNA from 10 species
AGAAGGACUGACUUCCAGUUCCAGACAAGUGACUGAGUAGAUUUUGACAGACAGGCAUGGAGCAGGCAGGCUGGCUGGAAACUUCAGUGAUUAUAAAAGUUAAGGAGCCUUUCUGAAGAUGUAAUUGGUUAAGAUAAGAUCAUACUGGAUGUGGAUGGGUCCUAGAUCUGACUGCUGAUAUCCUUAUAAGAAGAAGAAAGGACACGCGGAGACUACAGUGAUGUUGCCACAAGCCAAGAAAUGCCAAGAAUUUCGGGAGCCACCAGAAGAUGGAAGAGGCAGGGAAAAAUCCUCCCCUAAAGCCUUCAGAGAGAGCAUAGCUCUGCCAACACCUUGAUUCUGGACAUCUAGCCUCUUAAACGUCCUCAGGUGUCUCAUUUCUUCUGUCUCAGAAGUCAUGGAUGUCAAUGAAGAUAUGGAAUUCACUUAUUCAUUCUUAUAAAUAUUACUUAGUGUCCUUGUGCUUGGCACUGUGCUUGGUCAUUGAGAUCUACUGUUCAAAAGCAAGAUAACAUACAGGCUGGAAUAGCGAGAUGCAAGAAUCCCAAGCCUUCAAAGCCAGCUCCUGCAGAAGAGAGAGGGCCUGGCAGCUGAGCUGGAUGCUUCAGGAGCAGAGGAUCUAUCAACUGCAGACCAAGCACAGGGAGACGCAGGCAAACCUGGAACAGUAACCCAGCCAGCUCCAAUUGCUCCGACAGUACUUGGUGGCCAGAGAGUCGGCAGCAGAAAGCAUGCCCCGGGCCGUGAAGCAGGAAAUCGACUCUGACUCAAUCCUUGAGGUCUGGCAGAGAAAACAAAAGCUCAGCUGGAAGACACUGAAAUGGAGGCACCUACUUUCAAGCCCAGACUUUAAGAGAGGAGGCUAUGAGGCUCACUGGUCUCCAGAAAUGUACCUCUGUGUGCGGGAAUGUUCCAGAAGGCCACACUGUCUACAGGGCCAUUGCUUCACUGCAGAUUAGAUGUCCUCCCAGAACCUUCCAGGGCACUAAUUGCCUAAACAGC